rnacentral:rRNA from 1 species
UCCAGACUCCUACGGGAGGCAGCAGUGGGGAAUAUUGCACAAUGGGGGGAACCCUGAUGCAGCGACGCCGCGUGGGUGAAGGAGUACUUCGGUACGUAAAGCCCUAUCAGCAGGAAAGAAAAUGACGGUACCCGACUAAGAAGCCCCGGCUAACUACGUGCCAGCAGCCGCGGUAAUACGCAGGGGGCAAGCGUUAUCCGGAUUUACUGAGUGUAAAGGGAGCGUAGACGGCAGUGCAAGUCCGGAGUGAAAGCCCGGGGCUCAACCCUGGGACUGCUCUGGAAACUGUAAAGCUGGAGUGCGGGAGGGGCAGGCGGAAUUCCUGGUGUAGCGGUGAAAUGCGUAGAUAUCAGGAGGAACACCGGCGGCGAAGGCGGCCUGCUGGACCGUAACUGACGUUGAGGCUCGAAAGCGUGGGGAGCAAACAGGAUUAGAUACCCGGGUAC